AUGUUGACGAAGUCCUGCGGGCUGAGCUGCGACGGGCCGCCGGAGGACUCCACCCUGAACCCGGUCAGAGCCUCCAGGGCCUCCAGGCACACACCGGGGUUCGGCAUGUUGUCGUUCCUCAGAGACCGGACCGGACCAGACGGAGAGUCUGUCUGCCUGCCACUCCAACUGCCGGCUCCUCCUUUCACUUUCACUUUCACUUUCACUUUCCAUCCCGGUGUGGGGGGGGGGGGAUUUAAAUGUUUAUUCAUGACAUCCACCAAUUUACCCUCAAACUGCAGAGUACAGAGACAUUCAAACACAAAACAGCUGGUCAGACAUUCAAACACAAAACAGCUGGUCACACAUUCAAACAAAACACAAAACAGCUGGUCACACAUUCAAACACAAAACAUCUGGUCAGACAUUCAAACACAAAACAGCUGGUCACACAUUCAAACAAAACACAAAACAGCUGGUCAGACAUUCAAACACAAAACAGCUGGUCACACAUUCAAACAAAACACAAAACAGCUGGUCACACAUUCAAACAAAACACAAAACAGCUGGUCACACAUUCAAACACAAAACAGCUGGUCAGACAUUCAAACACAAAACAGCUGGUCACACAUUCAAACACAAAACAUCUGGUCACACAUUCAAACACAAAACAGCUGGUCACACAUUCAAACACAAAACAGCUGGUCACACAUUCAAACACAAAACAGCUGGUCACACAUUCAAACACAAAACAUCUGGUCACACAUUCAAACACAAAACAGCUGGUCACACAUUCAAACACAAAACAUCUGGUCACACAUUCAAACACAAAACAGCUGGUCACACAUUCAAACACAAAACAGCUGGUCACACAUUCAAACACAAAACACAAAACAGCUGGUCAGACAUUCAAACCAGAAGAGACCAGGUGGAACAGAACAGCUGUUUCGGCAGGUCCAGGUCCUGACCGUGUCCCUUCGUCCUCAGGAAAGCCAGCAGUGUGCUGCUGUCUCACGGCCCAAUCCUCCAGCUGCAGCUUCACAGAGGAAGUGUCUCUGCAUUAUUCCAGUCUGAAGCACAGGCCCCGCCCCUCUGGUCAGCCAUCCACGGGAUUGGUCAGAGCCGACGUCAUAUACUCCACCGUGAUUGGCCGCAGGAACUUGAUGGCGUCACAGCAGCACAGAUGAGAAGACUUCCUGUUUAGUUUGAGCUCCUCCUGCUGGUGAGAAAAGGAAAUGAUGUGCUUUUGUUUCCUUAAAGGGCCACUGAGUCAGUUCAAAAGAUAAAACAUCCCAUUUUUCAUGUAGCGUUCACCUUGUUUCCAGCUUCUCUCGUAUUGAUACUUGAACAUUUGAA
rnacentral:lncRNA from 1 species